rnacentral:rRNA from 1 species
CGAGUGCUUGCACUCAAUUGGAAAGAGGAGUGGCGGACGGGUGAGUAACACGUGGGUAACCUACCCAUCAGAGGGGGAUAACACUUGGAAACAGGUGCUAAUACCGCAUAACAGUUUAUGCCGCAUGGCAUAAGAGUGAAAGGCGCUUUCGGGUGUCGCUGAUGGAUGGACCCGCGGUGCAUUAGCUAGUUGGUGAGGUAACGGCUCACCAAGGCCACGAUGCAUAGCCGACCUGAGAGGGUGAUCGGCCACACUGGGACUGAGACACGGCCCAGACUCCUACGGGAGGCAGCAGUAGGGAAUCUUCGGCAAUGGACGAAAGUCUGACCGAGCAACGCCGCGUGAGUGAAGAAGGUUUUCGGAUCGUAAAACUCUGUUGUUAGAGAAGAACAAGGACGUUAGUAACUGAACGUCCCCUGACGGUAUCUAACCAGAAAGCCACGGCUAACUACGUGCCAGCAGCCGCGGUAAUACGUAGGUGGCAAGCGUUGUCCGGAUUUAUCGGGCGUAAAGCGAGCGCAGGCGGUUUCUUAAGUCUGAUGUGAAAGCCCCCGGCUCAACCGGGGAGGGUCAUUGGAAACUGGGAGACUUGAGUGCAGAAGAGGAGAGUGGAAUUCCAUGUGUAGCGGUGAAAUGCGUAGAUAUAUGGAGGAACACCAGUGGCGAAGGCGGCUCUCUGGUCUG